UCGCACGAGAAAGGGGACUUCGGUCCCUGAGUACAGUGGCGCACGGGUGAGUAACACGUGAAUAAUCUACCUCCGAGUGGGGAAUAACUGAGAGAAAUCUUAGCUAAUACCGCAUAACACUUACGAGUCAAAGCAGCAAUGCGCUUGGAGAGGAGUUCGCGGCAGAUUAGUUAGUUGGCGGGGUAAUGGCCCACCAAGACGAUGAUCUGUAUCCGGCCUGAGAGGGCGCACGGACACACUGGAACUGAAACACGGUCCAGACUCCUACGGGAGGCAGCAGUGGGGAAUUUUGCGCAAUGGGGGAAACCCUGACGCAGCAACGCCGCGUGGAGGAUGAAAUCCCUUGGGAUGUAAACUCCUUUCGAUCGGGAAGAUAAUGACGGUACCGAGAGAAGAAGCCCCGGCUAACUUCGUGCCAGCAGCCGCGGUAAUACGAGGGGGGCAAGCGUUGUUCGGAAUUAUUGGGCGUAAAGGGUGCGUAGGCGGUUUGAUAAGUCACAUGUGAAAUCUUCGGGCUCAACCCGAAGUCUGCAUGCGAAACUGUCGGGCUUGAGUAUGGGAGAGGUGAGUGGAAUUUCCGGUGUAGCGGUGAAAUGCGUAGAUAUCGGAAGGAACACCUGUGGCGAAAGCGGCUCACUGGACCAUAACUGACGCUGAUGCACGAAAGCUAGGGGAGCAAACAGGAUUAGAUACCCUGGUAGUCCUAGCCCUAAACGAUGAUUGCUUUGAUGUGGUGGGUACCCAAUCCCGCCGUGUCGAAAGCUACGCGAUAAGCAAUCCCGCCUGGGGAGUACGGUCG
rnacentral:rRNA from 1 species